UCCCAGAAGUCAGCCUAACAGAGAUAUUAAGGCACAUGAUGGAUGGAAGCAGAGUUCCUUCUUUCCCCUUCAUGCAGUCUGACUAUUUGGAUGAGAUGGGCAUGAGGGCUCACUGUGUCACACCCCGAACACUGCUAUCCUCUCCACGGUUCCUCCUCUAAUACCUUACUUACUAUUUCUCACCCCAGCGGCUCCCUCCUGUCCUCCACGUUUUCUUACCAUUCCAAUCAUAAAUCUGCUAGUGUUCUCAGGCUUCACCCACCGCUAGCCUCUCUUUCCACCCAGGCUGCUGUCCAUCCUUUCUCCUGCUUUGUUUCUUCUCCAUUCUACCUACGGCCUGUUGACUGCCCCCCCACCAUCUUGUCACUUUCCUUCAGUCUGCCUACUCUCUUCACACGUCCUGCUGACCACUAUCCCACCGUCAUACGCCCCUAUCAACGCUGAAAGCUCAGCUUCUCUGUACACCAGUGCCAAAUCAAAUCUCAGAGACAGAGUUUUGGGUGAAGUUCAGUUCAGUUCAGUCACUCAGUUGUGUCUAACUCUUUGCGACCCCAAAGACUGUAGCACGCCAGGCCUCCCUGUCCAUCACCAGGUCCUGGAGUCCACCCAAACCCAAGUCCAUCGAGUCGGUAAUGCCAUCCAACCAUCUCAUCCUUUGUUGUCCCCUUCUCCUCCCACCUUUAAUCUUUCCCAGCAUCAGGGUCUUUUCCACUGAGUCAGUUCUUUGCAUCAGGUGGCCAAAGUAUUGGAGUUUCAGCUUCAGGAUCAGUCUUUCCUAUGAAUAUUCAGGAUUGAUUUCCUUUAGGAUGGACUGGUUGGAUCUUCUUCCAAGGGACUCUCAAGAGUCCUCUUCAACACCACAGUUCAAAAGCAUCAAUUCUUUGGUACUCAGCCUUCUUUAUGGUCCAACUCUCACAUCCAUACAUGACUACUGGUAAAACCAUAGCUUUGACUAGACAGACCUUUGGGUGAAGUAGAAAAAGAUAGAUCUAUUGCCUCCCGAGGCAAAGGGGGACAUAGCAGGCUCCUGCUCUCAAAACCAUAUGUUUGGGGAAAAUAGUGCCAACUUUUAUAGUAAUUGUUCAAAGAGGGCGUGAUCAGCUCAUGGGCAUUUUUUAAAUGUAUUGAUAUAUGGCUAUGCUCGGUCUUCAGUGCUCCCUGUGGGCCUUCUCUAGUUGCAGUGAGCAGGGACUACCAUCUAGUUGCAGAGGGCAGUCUUCCCAUUAUGGCUGCCCCUCCCGUUGCAGGACAGAGGCUCUAGGUGCGUGGGCUCAGUAGUUGUGGAGUAGGGGCUUAGCCACUCUGUGGCAUGUGCAGUCUUCCAGGAUCAGGGAUGGAACUCAUGUCCCGUGAGUUGGCAGGUAGAUUCUUAACCACUAGAGCACCAAGGAAGCCCAUGUGAACAUUCUUCAGAAGAAUGAGGUGGUGGAUUCUUUACCAACUGAGCUAUCAGGGAGUCCCAACUAAGCCUGUGGACCGCAACUCCUGAGCCUGUGCUCCAGAGCCGGGAACUGCAGCUGCUGAGCCCACACGCUGCAGCCACUGAAACCUGUGCACCUGGAGUCUGUGCUAGGCAGCAAGAGCAGCCACCGCAGUGAGAAGCCUGCACACCACGACUAGAGCGCACCUCAACGGGCCACAGCUAGAGAAAGCCCGAGCACAGCGACGAAGACCAAGUAAAGCCACAAACAAAUAAAAGACUUCUCUGGCCCUGUGUCCCAACACCUUGAUGGCAACCUCACAACAGACAAUGAGCCUCAUCUGGCUAAGCUGCUCCUGAAUUCCUGACCGACAGAAAUGAGGAAAUAAAAAGCAUUUACUGCUGAUCUUAGUUCUUCAACCAGGGAUGGAACCCGGGCUGUUGGCUGUGAGAGUGCGGUGUUCUAACCUGUAGACCAGCAGGGAAUUCCCAGGACAUUCUUGUUUGACAUUCAAGCAUCUAUUUUCAGUAAUCAGAUUCUAUAGGAUACAGAGAAUCUAAUUCCCGUAUUUUAGAUAAUCAGCUAGGGAUGUAAUUUUAAAAAAUUGAUGUAUAGGUGCUGUACAGUAUAAUACUGGCAUACAAUAUUGGUGUACAAUAUAGUGAUUCAUAAUUUUUAAGGGUUAUAUUC
ensembl:lncRNA